rnacentral:rRNA from 1 species
GACAGAGGGUGCAAACGUUGUUCGGAAUUACUGGGCGUAAAGCGAGUGUAGGCGGUCUCGUAAGUCGGGUGUGAAAUCCCUCGGCUCAACUGAGGAACUGCCUUUGAAACUGCAAGGCUUGAGGCCGGGAGGGGGUAGCGGAAUUCCCAAUGUAGCGGUGAAAUGCGUAGAUAUUGGGAGGAACACCAGUGGCGAAGGCGGCUACCUGGACCGGUUCUGACGCUGAGGCGCGAAAGCGUGGGUAGCAAACAGG